rnacentral:misc_RNA from 1 species
AUGCAUUCUUACUUUUUUUUUUCUUUUUCCUAUUUAAUUGAAACUACAUGCUUACUACAAUUUAUAAUCUUCUAAAAGAAACUGAUUUAAGGAUAGUAUAGGAAUACUGGCAAAGGGAAAAAAAAAAUAGGGCCAAGAUCGAGGAUUUUUUUUUUUUGUCCUACUGGCUCUUUUCUAAAAGGCUAUCAAACGUGGAAAUCUUGACUAUUAGACAAACAAUGCUAGGAAGAUAGAUGCGAGUAUAGGCAAACAAAUCAACAUAAAUGCAAGACAAAAGGGAAAUAGUACAUCAAGCCUUGUAUGGCAUAUAGAAAAGAAAUGAAUGGUACCCCUCUGCUCCUUGCUAUUAAAAACAUAUCCCGAGUAUGUAUGAUAAUAUAUGUAUAUAUUAAUAUUAAAAGAGUAUACAUAAUGAUGUAUGUAUAUAUUAUUAGUAAAGCAUGUAGUGUGGGACCAUGAAAUUUUUUGUUGCCUAAUCUCCUUUUGCUUAGAUACUAUCCACUUACUGCUGUAUCUGAUUG